GCUGGCGGCAGGCUUAACACAUGCAAGUCGAACGCGUGUAGCAAUACACGAGUGGCGCACGGGUGAGUAACGCGUGGAUAUCUGCCUUUUGGUUCGGAAUAACCCCGGGAAACUGGGGCUAAUACCGGAUGGUUCCUUCGGGAUAAAGAUUUAUCGCCAAAAGAUGAGUCCGCGUCCGAUUAGCUAGUUGGUGAGGUAAUGGCUCACCAAGGCGACGAUCGGUAGCUGGUCUGAGAGGACGAUCAGCCACACUGGGACUGAGACACGGCCCAGACUCCUACGGGAGGCAGCAGUGGGGAAUAUUGGACAAUGGGGGCAACCCUGAUCCAGCCAUGCCGCGUGAGUGAUGAAGGCCUUCGGGUUGUAAAGCUCUUUUGGCGGGGACGAUGAUGACGGUACCCGCAGAAUAAGCCCCGGCUAACUUCGUGCCAGCAGCCGCGGUAAGACGAAGGGGGCUAGCGUUGUUCGGAAUUACUGGGCGUAAAGCGCGUGUAGGCGGUUAUCCAAGUCGGGUGUGAAAGCCUUGAGCUCAACUCAAGAAAUGCACUCGGUACUGGGUGACUAGAGGACCGGAGAGGAUAGUGGAAUUCCCAGUG
rnacentral:rRNA from 1 species